rnacentral:rRNA from 1 species
GGGAAUCUUCCGCAAUGGGCGAAAGCCUGACGGAGCAACGCCGCGUGAGUGAUGAAGGUCUUCGGAUCGUAAAACUCUGUUAUUAGGGAAGAACAAAUGUGUAAGUAACUAUGCACGUCUUGACGGUACCUAAUCAGAAAGCCACGGCUAACUACGUGCCAGCAGCCGCGGUAAUACGUAGGUGGCAAGCGUUAUCCGGAAUUAUUGGGCGUAAAGCGCGCGUAGGCGGUUUUUUAAGUCUGAUGUGAAAGCCCACGGCUCAACCGUGGAGGGUCAUUGGAAACUGGAAAACUUGAGUGCAGAAGAGGAAAGUGGAAUUCCAUGUGUAGCGGUGAAAUGCGCAGAGAUAUGGAGGAACACCAGUGGCGAAGGCGACUUUCUGGUCUGUAACUGACGCUGAUGUGCGAAAGCGUGGGGAU